AGAGCGAACGCUGGCGGCAGGCCUAAUACAUGCAAGUCGAACGGACCCUUCGGGGUUAGUGGCGGACGGGUGAGUAACACGUGGGAACGUGCCCUUUGGUUCGGAACAACUCAGGGAAACUUGAGCUAAUACCGAAUGUGCCCUUCGGGGGAAAGAUUUAUCGCCAUUGGAGCGGCCCGCGUCUGAUUAGCUAGUUGGUGAGGUAAAGGCUCACCAAGGCGACGAUCAGUAGCUGGUCUGAGAGGAUGAUCAGCCACACUGGGACUGAGACACGGCCCAGACUCCUACGGGAGGCAGCAGUAGGGAAUCUUGCGCAAUGGGCGAAAGCCUGACGCAGCCAUGCCGCGUGAAUGAUGAAGGUCUUAGGAUUGUAAAAUUCUUUCGGCGGGACGAUAAUGACGGUACCCGCAGAAGAAGCCCCGGCUAACUUCGCGCCAGCAGCCGC
rnacentral:rRNA from 1 species